GACAGAGGGUGCAAACGUUGUUCGGAAUUACUGGGCGUAAAGCGCGUGUAGGCGGCCCUGCAAGUCGGAUGUGAAAUCCCGCGGCUCAACCGUGGAAGUGCAUUCGAAACUGCAGGGCUAGAGUCCUGGAGAGGAAGGUGGAAUGCUUGGUGUAGAGGUGAAAUUCGUAGAUAUCAAGCGGAACACCGGUGGCGAAGGCGGCCUUCUGGACAGUGACUGACGCUGAGACGCGAAAGCGUGGGGAGCAAACAGG
rnacentral:rRNA from 1 species